CACAAAAUUAUACUACUUCCCAUCCAUACUAUUAAUAAAAGCUUCCAUAAUUUCAGUUUCUAAGGCAUCAGCCGUCCCGAACAACAAACUUCAAACCUAAUACCUACUCCGCUAAAUUCCGACAGACCGGUUAGGGGUAAAGAAUCCAUGCCCCAUCUUGGUUUUGGAUAUACUUUUAAGGGCGCGACAUACAAAGUUUGAUCCUUCCCUUCAUGUUCAAGGAUAAUUGGCUGAAUUAUUUGAUGAGCUUAGAAGCAUCAGUCCCCCAGUUUCAUCUCUUUUGCUUGCUUUCCAAGAAUGGAAUUAGAAAAGAAAGCGAUUGCAAACGCCAAGUAGUUGUUAACAUCAUUACCAUAAGAGACACCCAGAGAAGCGCCCACACAGGCCUUCACCAUUAAGAAGCAAAAUUACAAUGUGCUAUACCCGAGCGCGUAAAGCUCUAGAAGUAGCAAGAUCACUCGGUGACCGUUGAUGUAGAAGACGGUUUACUCAAGGUUUCCUUCAAAACAAUUCGAGACUCGGAACAAAACAAAAUAGGCCAUGAGACCAAGUGGGUUUAUGAAAAGCCGAGAAAUUCACAUAAAAAUUGAUUUAUGAGAAAGUUCGAUAAUGACUACCCCAAUAUGAAGUUUCCCUGAGGGCUCGUUUGGUUCGCAGGAAAAGGAGGGAGGAAAGUAUGGUCAACGAAAAAGUAAUGAAAUGCCUUUUGUUUGGUUGGAGUUUUCAAAAGAGAGAUGAAAAAGUUGUAUUCCCAUAGAAUUAUAAUUCUCACAUUUCAUGAAAAAGUCUUUCCCAUGAGAAACAUCGAAAAGUUACUUUUCCAUGAGGUGUAGAUCACUCCUUUUUUAUUUUUUCCCAAAAAGACCCUUCAGCAUUAAAAAAAGCAUUAAAUAGGUAUUAAAGACCUAAUUUUUAUUGAGGACAUAAUAAGAAUUAUACAUAACUUUCCUAGGAAAGUGGAUGGUCAACCAAACAUAAGCACUUUGGAAAUUUGUCACUUUCCCAUGGUUAACCAAACAUGCCAAAAAUACUUUCCUAAGUAUCCUCUUCCUAGAAAUCUGAUUCUUAGGAAUCAUAUUCCUAAGAAGGAAAAUACUUCCCGCGAACCAAACGAGCCCUGAAAGAUCGCCAGAAUCGACAACCCCUUGCUCCAUCCAAUUGGAGUCAAAAGGGGGAAGAACCUCUCCUC
rnacentral:lncRNA from 1 species